rnacentral:lncRNA from 1 species
AGGAGAAAUCUGAAUUUCACUAUCCUAUUUACCCAUUCGAUGGAAUGUCCUAUGAUGUAUAGGGGUGCUGCGUAGUCUUUUCUAUGACGAUGAACAAUGAAAAAAAAAUUAAAUUUUAUUUUAAAUUUAAAAUAAUAUAUAUUAGAUCUGAAAUUAAAAUUUUGAUCAUUAGAUGAUUGAUUGUAAAAAUAUUUUAUAAAAUUA